rnacentral:rRNA from 1 species
GACGAACGCUGGCGGCGUGCCUAAUACAUGCAAGUAGAACGCAGUUGCGAACGGGCGAGUAACGCGUAGGUAACUGCUUGGUAGUGGGGGAUAAUUACUGGAAAAGAUAGCUACUACUGCAUCCUACUAGAUGGACCUGCGUUGUACUAGCUAGUUGGUGGGGUAACGGCUCACCAAGGCAACGCUACCUAGUCGGCCAGGGAGGGAGGUCGGGCCCACUGGGACUUGGGACCGGGCCCGGCUCCUUCGGGAGGCAACCAGUGGGGAACAUCGGAAAUGGACGGAAGUCUGGCCAAGCAACGGCGGGGGAGAUGAGAAGGGUUUCGGGUCGUAAAGCUCUGUUGUGAGAGAAGCGGUAUCUGACCAAGAAGGGACGGCUAACUACGUGCCAGCAGCCGCGGUAAUUC